AACUUUGGGGCUGAUGUUCUGGAAGUGACGUGGGUGGAAUAAAGUGCAUGGGAGUGAUAGAUGGAAGCUUCCGUUAUCGCCAACUUAAUCACCAACAGCGGAGCGGUAGGAGCCCCCGCUAUCCUCAGAUGGGUGCUGCUGAGACAUUGGGUGUUUCUGGAGGACUUGAGAGUUGGCAGAGCAAGCCCUGUAUGCUUUCUUUCCCUGGCUCACUAGCACAGGCUAAUGGUGUUGUCGUCAUGUUCUAAGAACAUGAGCUGCCUGUGGACAUGGAAACCAUCAACCUGGACAGAGAUGCAGAGGAUGUUGAUUUGAAUCACUAUCGCAUAGGAAAGAUUGAAGGAUUUGAGACUCUCUGCCUCCGCCAAAAUUUAAUUAAAUGCAUUGAGAAUCUGGAGGAGCUACAGAGUCUUCGAGAGCUGGAUCUUUACGACAACCAGAUCAAGAAGAUUGAGAAUCUGGAGGCGCUAACAGAGCUGGAGAUUCUAGAUAUUUCUUUUAAUCUGCUGAGAAACAUCGAAGGGGUUGACAAGUUGACACAACUGAAAAAACUCUUCUUGGUCAACAAUAA
rnacentral:sRNA from 1 species